AUACGUAGGGGGCGAGCGUUGUCCGGAAUGAUUGGGCGUAAAGGGCGCGUAGGCGGCCCGGUAAGUCUGGAGUGAAAGUCCUGUUUUUAAGAUGGGAAUUGCUUUGGAUACUGUCGGGCUUGAGUGCAGGAGAGGUAAGUGGAAUUCCCAGUGUAGCGGUGAAAUGCGUAGAGAUUGGGAGGAACACCAGUGGCGAAGGCGACUUACUGGACUGUAACUGACGCUGAGGCGCGAAAGUGUGGGGAGCAAACAGGAUUAGAUACCCUGGUAGUCCACACUGUAAACGAUGAAUGCUAGGUGUAGGGGGUAUCGACCCCUCCUGUGCCGCAGUCAACACAAUAAGCAUUCCGCCUGGGGAGUACGGCCGCAAGGUUGAAACUCAAAUGAAUUGGCGGGG
rnacentral:rRNA from 1 species